rnacentral:rRNA from 1 species
UGCUCCCGGAUGUUAGCGGCGGACGGGUGAGUAACACGUGGGUAACCUGCCUGUAAGACUGGGAUAACUCCGGGAAACCGGAGCUAAUACCGGAUAGUUCCUUGAACCGCAUGGUUCAAGGAUGAAAGACGGUUUCGGCUGUCACUUACAGAUGGACCCGCGGCGCAUUAGCUAGUUGGUGAGGUAACGGCUCACCAAGGCGACGAUGCGUAGCCGACCUGAGAGGGUGAUCGGCCACACUGGGACUGAGACACGGCCCAGACUCCUACGGGAGGCAGCAGUAGGGAAUCUUCCGCAAUGGACGAAAGUCUGACGGAGCAACGCCGCGUGAGUGAUGAAGGUUUUCGGAUCGUAAAGCUCUGUUGUUAGGGAAGAACAAGUGCAAGAGUAACUGCUUGCACCUUGACGGUACCUAACCAGAAAGCCACGGCUAACUACGUGCCAGCAGCCGCGGUAAUACGUAGGUGGCAAGCGUU